GACGAGGGGUCCUAGCGUUGUUCGGAAUCAUUGGGCGUAAAGCGUGUGUAGGCCGCCUUGCAAGUCAGUUGUGAAAUCCCCGGGCUCAACCCGGGAAGUGCUUCUGAUACUGCAAGGCUUGAGUACUGGAGAGGGUAGUGGAAUUCCAGGUGUAGUGGUGAAAUACGUAGAUAUCUGGAGGAACACCGGUGGCGAAGGCGGCUACCUGGCCAUGUACUGACGCUGAGACACGAAAGCGUGGGGAGCAAACAGG
rnacentral:rRNA from 1 species